CUCUCUCUCAUUUCUCAAACACGAGAAAUUCAUAGUCUUCCUCCUUCCUCUCUCCAUUGUCUGGCAAUAAAAUCUUCCUCCAAAACGAUGUCGCUUAGUGGCUUCUCCGGCGGCAGCGGCGGCGGCGGCCCUGGUGGUGGCUCCGCCGCUCCUCAGUCCUACUUCUGCUACCAGUGCAACCUUACGGUCUCCAUCACCCCUUCUCCCACCUCCGAUCCUCUCUGCCCUCAUUGCAACGAUGGCUUUCUCGAGGAGGUUGAAAACCCUAAUCCUAACCCUAUCCCCGUCCCAAUCCCCAAUCCCUUCUUAGGUUUCUCCGAUUUGCCCUCUCUAUCCGCCGCCGGCGCCACAGCCACUGCCUUCCCUCCGCUUGUCUUCUCAACCGCUGCCGGAGGGAGCAUCGAUCUCCAGAACUCCGUCGAUUUCCCCGGUCUGUUCGGGGCAGACCCCGAUGCGUUCCACCCCUUUGCUUUCCUACAGAAUUAUCUGCAAACCCUAAGGGCAGGUGGCACGAACGUUCAAUUUGUGAUUGACGGUAACUCGCCGGAGGGUACGUUCCGGCUUUCGCCAAACCUCGGGGACUACUUCAUUGGACCGGGGCUGGAGCAGCUGAUCCAGCAGCUGGCGGAGAACGAUCCGAACCGGUACGGUACGCCGCCGGCAUCGAAAUCAGCGAUUGAGGGGCUUCCGACCAUUCGGAUUACGGUGGAAUUGUUGGGAACGGAUUCGUCGCAGUGUGCGGUGUGCAAGGACAGCUUUGAGCUCGAUGAGGAGGCCAAGCAGAUGCCUUGUAAGCACAUUUACCAUAACGAUUGUAUUCUACCUUGGUUGGAACUGCAUAAUUCGUGUCCGGUCUGUCGGUACGAGUUGCCCACCGAUGAUCCCGACUACGAGCACCGCACUCGGGGUGGCCAAGUCAAUCAAACUGGCGGAAAUGCUGCUGCGGUGGCUGCUGCUGGGGCUGCUUCGAACUCAGCUUCUGGUGCUGCUGGUGGGGCAGCAGUUUCUGGAGAGAAUCCGAAUCCUCAGACCCCUAGGACUGCAGAUAGGAUGUUUAGGAUCUCAUUUCCAUGGCCGUUUCGGACAUUUGGAUCCCCUGCUGAGACUAGCAACAGCAACAAUGAUGGGGGAUCGAACCCGGGGAACAGGGCAAAUCAGGAGUCUGGAUCAGAAAACAGGCAAGGAGAUCAGACUUGAGGAAUAUGGGUAGAAGAGUCUGCUCAAUGAGAUGGUGGUCUGCAGGGAUAGAAAGGACACUAUUAGGUUCAGGCUGGAUGGAACUGGGGGAGAUUCACUGUCAAGUCCCUUGUUCAGGCAAUAUGUAGUAGGAAGAGUAGAAGCUUUCUAACUUCUAUUCUUUUAUGUGGUAGCAGCCCCCUCUGAGGCGAGGUAGUGCUUCCCUCAUAGGAUGGAGAGAAAUUCUCACUAUGAUCAAUUAAUGAGGUGAGGUUUUCUUAUGGCAAAUUGACAAGUUUGUGUAAAAGGAAUGAGGAGUCAGCCAACCACAUUUUCAUUCAUUGCCUAGUGGCUAAAGAGUUUUGAUCCUCACUGUUUUUAAUCUUUGGUUUUUGUGGGUGAUUUCCAUUCAGUUACGAAAAUCAGUACUAGUUUGCAUGGAAAGUUCGUGGAUAAGACUGAGUAAAUUUGGAGUGUGGCUCUGUUAUUUUGUUUUGGUGGCUGUAUAGUGUGACAGUAGAAUCUUUGCAGGAGAAGAAAGAUUGGUUUUGAAGCUGAAGGACAUCUGAAAGAUGUCUAGUAUGAAGAAAUGUAACAAAAAGCUAUUGCACUAUCCAUCUUUGAUGAACAUGACGAGGUGUUUUAUCAAAUUAGGCCCACUAAGACCAGAUUUGUAAUACCAAGGUACAUAUUCUUAAGGUAACUGGUGUUCCCACUUAUGUGCGCUUUGAUUGGUUGACUGUGGGAGAAACCCUCCCAUCCGAAUCACUGAUACAUUUAUGAAGCCAUGACGAGAGCUGAGAGGCCACUGCAAGGAAUUUUAAAUUAUGCAAAUCUGACUAUUGAGUUAGAUGAAGUUGUUAUGGCCAGUUUAUAUAAAUGCAUAGCAAAGGUGAUAAAGACACAACAUUUUCUUAGCAAGACAAGAUUUUGUAAAGAGUUGACUCUGCAAAGGUGAGCUAAGCCUCUUCGGGAUGGACAUGGCUAUUAAAAACAAAGACAGACUAAAGCACCAGGUAAGAGAAAGGGGUUCAAAUCUGUAACCAUUGUUGAACAUAGAAACAAUCUUCUUAUACAUCGAAGACUAGUGACAGAUGUUUUUUUCAUUUUAUGUUUGGGCAUAAUAAUAAUGGGUAAAUGUCUUUUAUUUUCA